CGAAAGCCUGACGGAGCAACGCCGCGUGAGGGAAGAAGGCCCGUGGGUCGUAAACCUCUUUUCUCAGGGAAGAAGUUCUGACGGUACCUGAGGAAUCAGCCUCGGCUAACUCCGUGCCAGCAGCCGCGGUAAUACGGAGGAGGCAAGCGUUAUCCGGAAUUAUUGGGCGUAAAGCGUCCGCAGGGGGCGCAUCAAGUCUGCUGUUAAAGGUCGGAGCUCAACUCCGGUUCGGCAGUGGAAACUGGUGAGCUAGAGGGCGACAGGGGUAGAGGGAAUUCCCAGUGUAGCGGUGAAAUGCGUAGAGAUUGGGAAGAACACCGGUGGCGAAAGCGCUCUACUGGGUCGCACCUGACCCUCAGGGACGAAAGCUAAGGUAGCG
rnacentral:rRNA from 1 species